GGAAAGGGAAAAAGCAAACGAAAGAAAAAGUCGUUUGAGAAAGAGCAGCGUUCACACAAUACACACCGCAAGAGUAAGAUUCAGUCUGUGGGCAGGCAGGCCCACUGUGCCCCCGAAUCGUCACACGAGGACCCGCCGCUCUACCCCCAUCCCAUCCCGCUGCGGGUCCAAGCACCGCAGCCCCAUACGUUUCGACCCUUCUCGGCACGGUUGCUCUCUAAUUCACCGCGCAGAGUCUCCAUUGAUGAGCCUCUGCCAGCAACUGGCCGCGGUCCAGGGCCCAGCGCUGGCCAGGCAGGUGUUGGGGAUGCCUCGGAGGACGCCAGCACUGACCCUCUCGCUCAGGCCUCCGAGCCCCGGGCUUUGGGGACACUUGAGGUCUAUGCGGAGCUCGGCGGACUGAAGGUCGCAGUGACCCAGCAUCCCUGAGCCCCGCCCGCACCAGGGCGCGCUUGCAUAAAGUUGCCCAGGUGAAUCAGUGCAAGUGAGUGAAGAAAUAAAGGAAUGGAGCGAGAGAGAGAGCCCGGUCCCCUUGUGCACACAGCUCACGUGCUCGGGGCGAAGCCCGUGCUGGCGAUGUGGAGUUUAACACCCAGGUCCUACACAACCCAGGCUCGCGCGCGCUCUCCGGACGAAAUGCAAGACAUUAUUAUUGGAGACAACAAUCACAACAUGUAUUCUCUUUGUCCCCGCCCCCGCUGUUUUCUCCAUCUUUGCUGUCGGACUCUGGAAUCCAACUGGACCUCUCUGCGCUCCCCGGCGCCCGCGCAGCUUCCUAUCCUGGCGCACUGGGGGCGGCACCACAGCGCGCACGCUCUGUUCUGGAACCGCUCACGGAGGGCGCCAGGGGCUGCGAGCCGGGAAGGGGACGCCCACGGCCGGCAAGGGGGCGCUGUCCCCAGAGGCCUCUGACCCUGAGGAGCAUCGUCCCGCCCUGGAGCGACGGAUUGGGAGAGGAGGUCUGAGUCAUGCACGGAGUAACCCACCACUGAAGACAGGUCCUGACUGCAGAUCCCUCGGUCCUCUCCCAGUGCCGCCUCCUUUCAGGGUUGCCUCUGCGGAGCCCUGCACGGGGUGGAGGGGGGCCGCUCAGUAAAUAUUUGUGGAUGGGAUUCCAGGAUCUCGUCAAGCCUUAUGACUGCCCUGUUUUAUACAGUAGGAUGUGUCUAA